GCCUGAAUAGCUCAGUUGGGAGAGCGUCAGACUGAAGAUCUGAAUGUCCCUGGUUCAAUCCCGGGUUCCGGCA
rnacentral:tRNA from 1 species